rnacentral:rRNA from 1 species
GACGAACGCUGGCGGCGUGCUUAACACAUGCAAGUCGAGCGGUAAGGCCCUUUGGGGUACACGAGCGGCGAACGGGUGAGUAACACGUGAGUAAUCUGCCUUUGGCUUGGGAAUAACUUCGGGAAAUCGGGGCUAAUGCCUGAUGUUUACUGUCUGCUGCAUGGUGGGUGGUGGAAAGAUUUUUUGGCCGAGGGAGUGAGCUCGCGGUCUAUCAGCUUGUUGGUGGGGUAAGUGGCUUACC